rnacentral:rRNA from 1 species
UUAUAAGAGACAGCAGUCGCCGCGGGAAUACAGAGGGUGCGAGCGUUAAUCGGAUUUACUGGGCGUAAAGCGUGCGUAGGCGGCUUCUUAAGUCGGAUGUGAAAUCCCUGAGCUUAACUUAGGAAUUGCAUUCGAUACUGGGAAGCUAGAGUAUGGGAGAGGAUGGUAGAAUUCCAGGUGUAGCGGUGAAAUGCGUAGAGAUCUGGAGGAAUACCGAUGGCGAAGGCAGCCAUCUGGCCUAAUACUGACGCUGAGGUACGAAAGCAUGGGGAGCAAACAGGAUUAGAUACCCCUGUAGUCCCUGUCUCUUAUAC